UACAGAGGGUGCAAGCGUUAAUCGGAAUUACUGGGCGUAAAGCGUGCGUAGACGGUUACAUAAGUCGGGUGUGAAAGCCCCGGGCUCAACCUGGGAAUUGCAUUCGAGACUGCGUAGCUAGGGUGCGGAAGAGGGAAGCGGAAUUUCCGGUGUAGCGGUGAAAUGCGUAGAUAUCGGAAGGAACACCAGUGGCGAAAGCGGCUUUCUGGACAUUUACUGACGCUGAGACGCGAAAGCGUGGGGAGCAAACAGG
rnacentral:rRNA from 1 species